rnacentral:rRNA from 1 species
UCCUACGGGGGGCAGCAGUGAGGAAUAUUGGUCAAUGGCCGGAAGGCCGAACCAGCCAAGCCGCGUGAAGGACGAAGGUGCCAAGCAUUGUAAACUUCUUUUGUCAAGGGACAAAAUCAGGCUCGAGAGCCUGACCGAGGGUACUUGAAGAAAAAGCAUCGGCUAACUCCGUGCCAGCAGCCGCGGUAAUACGUAGGGGGCAAGCGUUAUCCGGAUUUACUGGGUGUAAAGGGAGCGUAGACGGCAAUACAAGUCGGAAGUGAAAUACCCGGGCUCAACC